UGCGGGGGGGGCGAGCGUUGUUCGGAAUCACUGGGCGUAAAGGGCGCGUAGGCGGCCCGCACAAGUCUGCGGUGAAAAUCUCCGGCUUAACCGGGGGCCGGCCGUGGAAACUGUCGGGCUGGAGGCUGGGAGAGGGCAGCGGAAUUCCCGGUGUAGCGGUGAAAUGCGUAGAGAUCGGGAGGAACACCGGCGGCGAAGGCGGCUGCCUGGACCAGCCCUGACGCUGAGGCGCGAAAGCGUGGGGAGCAAACAGG
rnacentral:rRNA from 1 species